UGGGGAAUAUUGCACAAUGGGCGCAAGCCUGAUGCAGCCAUGCCGCGUGUAUGAAGAAGGCCUUCGGGUUGUAAAGUACUUUCAGCGGGGAGGAAGGGAGUAAAGUUAAUACCUUUGCUCAUUGACGUUACCCGCAGAAGAAGCACCGGCUAACUCCGUGCCAGCAGCCGCGGUAAUACGGAGGGUGCAAGCGUUAAUCGGAAUUACUGGGAGUAAAGCGCACGCAGGCGGUUUGUUAAGUCAGAUGUGAAAUCCCCGGGCUCAACCUGGGAACUGCAUCUGAUACUGGCAAGCUUGAGUCUCGUAGAGGGGGGUAGAAUUCCAGGUGUAGCGGUGAAAUGCGUAGAGAUCUGGAGGAAUACCGGUGGCGAAGGCGGCCCCCUGGACGAAGACUGACGCUCAGGUGCGAAAGCGUGGGGAGCAAACAGG
rnacentral:rRNA from 2 species